rnacentral:misc_RNA from 1 species
CUGAGUCUUAUCUCAAAACCCUUUGUGAACCUUUAUAACCUGUUGCUUCGGCGGCGCGGCCCCCGGGUCGUGCCCGCCGGUAUCAUCAGAAUCUCUGUUCGAACCCGACGAUACUUCUGAGUGUUCUAAGCGAACUGUUA